rnacentral:rRNA from 1 species
GAUGAACGCUGGCGGCGUGCCUAAUACAUGCAAGUCGAGCGAACAGACGAGGAGCUUGCUCCUUUGACGUUAGCGGCGGACGGGUGAGUAACACGUAGGUAACCUACCUAUAAGACUGGGAUAACUUCGGGAAACCGGAGCUAAUACCGGAUAAUAUUUCGAACCGCAUGGUUCGAUAGUGAAAGAUGGCUUUGCUAUCACUUAUAGAUGGACCUGCGCCGUAUUAGCUAGUUGGCAAGGUAACGGCUUACCAAGGCAACGAUACGUAGCCGACCUGAGAGGGUGAUCGGCCACACUGGAACUGAGACACGGUCCAGACUCCUACGGGAGGCAGCAGUAGGGAAUCUUCCGCAAAGGGCGAAAGCCUGACGGAGCAACGCCGCGUGAGUGAUGAAGGUCUUCGGAUCGUAAAACUCUGUUAUUAGGGAAGAACAAACGUGUAAGUAACUGUGCACGUCUUGACGGUACCUAAUCAGAAAGCCACGGCUAACUACGUG